ACCAGCUCUACCUCAGAGAAGCCUAGCCGGUCAGCAUUGGAGACAUCAAACACUCCUCCAACAGCAGCAGUAUCCACACCCCCUGAAGAAAGAGGAGAUUCAGUUUAGAGUUGUGAAGACCCUCACAUCUUAUGUGUAUUGCUGGAGAGACAUAGCAAGAGUUCACUUGGAGCAAAAUAGUUUCCCUUGCUGCAUUCAUACCUGGUUAUGGGCAGGGGGUGGAAGGGCAUGGCUUGAACAGAGGGAUACUUCCAGUUUGCUGCUGAGUUAAUAGUACAGCACAAGUUCUAGCAGACAGGACUCUCCCACUCCUGGCUUUAUCAGUUUGAGUGACCCUUGAAGUGCCACAGAACGUCACAUAGCCAGUUUGGAAUAGGAGAGAUCAAAGCAGCCAGGAUAAGGCCACCUUGAACACUUAGUGGGCAGUGCUUUUGGGCCAGGACUCACUGCUUGAGAGACUGACAGCUCUAGGAACCUCGGUGCUGCUAUCAAGACGCACUUCCUUUAAUGAGGGAGAACAGAUGGUUGCGGAUCAAGAGGCUCUGUCCUUUACCUGGGUU